rnacentral:tRNA from 2 species
GGCGGAGUGUUGGAAUUGGUAGACAUAACGGACUUAAAAUCCGUUGCUCGUUAGGGCGUGGUGGGUUCGAGUCCCACCUUCGGUA